ensembl:misc_RNA Metazoa_SRP Metazoan signal recognition particle RNA
GCCGGGCGUGGUGAUGCACGCCUGUAAUCCCAGCUACUCGGGAGGCUGAGGCAGAAGAAUCGCUUGAACCUGGGAGAUGGAGGUUGCAGUGAGCAGAGAUCGCACCACUGCACUCCAGCCUGGGUAACAGAGUGAGACUCUGUCUCAA